rnacentral:lncRNA from 7 species
AACAUGUGCAACAAUUCAAAUAAUAUUUGAGCUCAGCAUGAUGCAAUAUUUCAUAACUCAUAUUGUUUUGACAAAAAUAACUAAUAAAUCUCUCACUAAUUAAGCUAAAUCUACUUAAAAAGAGAGAAAGGAACUAGAGAGAAGCAAGAAUAACACCUGAAUUUAGUAGAUAUUUAGAAAGAAAUUUUAUAUCACAAAUUCACAGGCCAGGACUGAAGCAGAGAGGCGCUCGGCGAGGGAGAUCCGGAGAUGCGGGCAUGGAGAGGAGGUACGGCGAGCUCGCAGCGGCAGUCGGCUAGAGCACAACGUCCCAGCGAGCACAACCAGGGCAGGGAGGUGAGCGAGAGCGUAGGGCGCCGGAGUCCGGCGACCUGAGACCGAGGCACAAGGUACGGUUGUCGAACCUAGGCACGGCAAGACCGGCUGGCGUGACGAGGUCAGCGCGAUGAGGGAGGAGAACGAGCGAUACACAACGACGUCGAGGUGCACGAACCAGAGGAAUCGCUUGAGGAGAGGCACACGAGCAUGGAGAGCGCGCGUCCAGAAAACGAUGGCCGGCCGGCCGGCUGAAGAGUCAGAGCAGGAAUUAAGAAAUGGGGUGAACGGUGGAAGCUAAAAAAAUCCUAGGAGGAUAAGGCAUCGAAAAAAGAUCAGAG